UUUACAUUAAUAAAUUGUAGCGAUUUUACAGAAAACAUAGAAAUUUAGGACUAACAUUGUGUAAUUUAUUUCUUUUCAGGUACCCCCGCCAGAAGGACGGAAGCAUAGAGUCGCUGAGGAGCCUAAAUAGCCAUUACAGGUGAGUUUUUGUUGUGUGUUGGCUGUGGACUGUUGUGGCCGCAGGGAGUGGGCCACUUGCAACAAGUAUGUCCGGCUGGAGUUGCAGAUGCAAGUUGCCGAUCGUCAGGAAGAGGAGUUGCGCAGACAUAUCCCACGCAGCUGUCGUUGCAUUUUUAUUGAGCUGCUGGCGUUAUGGUGGUGGAGUGCUCUCUAGUGAGAAGUCGUCAGUGCGGAUUGAAGCUCGAUCUAUCACCGAGGAGAGCCAGGUGCGCCGCGUCUUGUGGCCGUAGCAUCAGGAUUGGCAGCUAGUGGCCGCCGGUUCGAGAUUUGUUGCAGAGAGCGGCCGCAACAAGAAUGGCAUGGAAAUGGAUGUAAAAAUAGAAUUUGGUACAUUGAGUGGAAUUUAAUUUAAG